CCUACGGGUGGCAGCAGUGGGGAAUAUUGCACAAUGGGGGAAACCCUGAUGCAGCGACGCCGCGUGAGUGAAGAAGUAUUUCGGUACGUAAAGCUCUAUCAGCAGGGAAGAAAAUGACGGUACCUGACUAAGAAGCACCGGCUACCUACGGGCCAGCAGCGGCGGUACUACGUAGGGGGCAAGCGUGAUCCGGAUUUAUUGGGUGUAAAGGGAGCGUAGACGGCAGCGCAAGUCUGGAGUGAAAUCCCAUGGCUUAACCAUGGAACUGCUUUGGAAACUGUGCAGCUAGAGUGCAGGAGAGGUAAGCGGAAUUCCUAGUGUAGCGGUGAAAUGCGUAGAUAUUAGGAGGAACACCAGUGGCGAAGGCGGCUUACUGGACUGUAACUGACGUUGAGGCUCGAAAGCGUGGGGAGCAAACAGGAUUAGAUACCCGAGUAGUC
rnacentral:rRNA from 1 species